rnacentral:rRNA from 1 species
AUUGAACGCUGGCGGCAGGCUUAACACAUGCAAGUCGAGCGGAGAUGAGGUGCUUGCACCUUAUCUUAGCGGCGGACGGGUGAGUAAUGCUUAGGAAUCUGCCUAUUAGUGGGGGACAACAUUCCGAAAGGAAUGCUAAUACCGCAUACGUCCUACGGGAGAAAGCAGGGGAUCUUCGGACCGUGCGCUAAUAGAUGAGCCUAAGUCUGAUUAGCUAGUUGGUGGGGUAAAGGCCUACCAAGGCGACGAUCUGUAGCGGGUCUGAGAGGAUGAUCCGCCACACUGGGACUGAGACACGGCCCAGACUCCUACGGGAGGCAGCAGUGGGGAAUAUUGGACAAUGGGGGGAACCCUGAUCCAGCCAUGCCGCGUGUGUGAAGAAGGCCUUAUGGUUGUAAAGCACUUUAAGCGAGGAGGAGGCUACUGAGACUAAUACCCUUGGAUAGUGGACGUUACUCGCAGAAUAAGCACCGGCUAACUCUGUGCCAGCCGCCGCCGUAAUAC